GCCGCCAGGCAGGCCGUGGCGCACCGCCCACGGACACGCCCUUAACGUCCCCUUUCAACCGCCCAGGACUCGGUGGGGAGUUGCCGCGGCAAAGGUUCUUGCCGUCUGUACUCUCUUCCUAGCCUGGGCCUAGAAAACCCUAGCAUGUGGUCACUGAGCUACUGAAGGAUGCUUCCUGAGGGACUGGUCUGAGGCGUACCACAGGUAAGAGUGAAUCUCCACAAGUCUUGUUUUCUAAACAUUAGAACUCACAGCAUCAGAGAAAGAUCAUCCUGAGAGAGAAAAGGAACAGACUGGACAUGAAUCACUUCUCCAAAGUCAUGGGACCUGCUGGAGCCUGUGUGCUCUGAGGACAGAUCUAGAUGCAGGCUCAUAAAGGGUCCUCAGCCUCUCUGGAAACCCUUCAGGGCACCACCCAUCUUCUCAUUGCUGCUGAAGAAGAAAGUCACUAUCUGGUGUGAUUGGAUUGGAGGACUCCAAAAGAGACGACAGGGAACAGAAAUGAAUGACAUGGGAUGUUAAGAACCACUUUGAAAGCUCCCUGAUUGAGGAAACCUGACACUUGGCCCCAGAAAGAGGAAGUACUAGAAGUUGUGGGGACCCUGGAGAGCUGUUGCCCUGUACAAAGUUCAGCAGCCAGUGCAGCCCUGCACAUGAAACCUCAAAGUUGUGUGUAAUUUGGGUGUCUUUCAGAGAACAGUGGUGGGGGCGGAGGGUCAAAAGCUUUAGGGACCAAAACUUGGAGUAGAGACCUACCAAAGAGGGAAAAACUGACGGGACAAGAUGCCAAAGGAGACCAGAGGAGUGUGGGUUAGAGCCUGGAGGAUACUGAUGCAAGAGCGGCCAGCUCAGAGAAUGUGAAACAUAAAGCUGCCUUUGGGAGGCCAUUUGGGUUCCCCACCCCAUAGGAAGUGGCUUUGCCACCUAAAGUGACAUGUCUGUCCAAUAGGCCUAGAGUCCCACAGAAGCAAGGGCCGUACCUUUCAUGGGCUUGUGCCCAGGCAUAUGGGCGAAGGGUCAUCAUCUCCAGGGAUUUCAGGCUUCAGGCCCUAGAAGACAUGCUGCCCAUCUCAGAUCCUGAAGUAUCUGGCAUCCCAGGCCAUUCUUGCCUCCUCACAGAGCUGCCUUAGGGCAGGGGGAGUUUUCCCAAAGGGAGACCCAGCUCCAUGUAGUGAAGAAGGGACCUACAUGUUUUUGGUUCUUCAGCAAUGUGUGCUUUAGCGAGUUAAGAAUUUGGCUUCCAAUGGGAGGCUGUUAUUUAGCAUGUGAACCUUAAGAGGCUAUAACCUUGUCUCCUCCUCCCCCCGUGAAGAGGAAGCAGAGAAUCCAGAUUCUGGUCUACACUGUAGCUAGCAGGGUGCCUUUAUGAGCAUCUGAGAGGGGACUCCUCCUGGCAUGUCUGAGCCUUGAGGGGUCGUAGGGUGAGAUGAUGAGGAAAACCAAGCUGAGGUUGUGACCAACUCUUGACUUUGUGGGGAAUCCAACGCCCUUUCCCCAGGUGCCUCUCUAGUCUCUUGAUUCAUCUCUGUGCCUUUUGAAGCUAUGCUACCACAGGCCAGAUGGCAGCCUCUCCGAGCUACUGUCCUGUGAAAACAAGUGUAAUACCUGCUCCACAAGAUGCAAGUGAUGAUUAAAUAACACAACUCCAGGGCUUAUCAGAGUGCCAGGCACAUCGGAGGAGCUUGAGGAGUGGCAACUCUAAAAUCCUGCAUCCUGCUCUAUGGACCACACUCCCCCUGGUCUGGUGGCGUGGGUAAGGGGAUGGACACACCUGACUGUUAAUGACCUGGACUCAGACGAAAGGGCAGGCAGGAGAAAGAGGGCUCACACAGGCCGGAGACCACUGUGGGCUCCAGAGGACAGAGAGAGGUGGGGAAGGGGUGAGUUCGAGGCAGGGCAACAGGCAGAAGAGACUGAGGAAAAGAGAACAGACGUAAGACCUCCAACAAGAGAGAUGGAGUGGGGCACCUGGCUGGUUCAGUCGGUAGAGCAUGCGAUUCAUCUUGCGGUUAUGAGUUCAAGCCCCAUGUUGGAUGUACAGAUUACUUAAAAAGGAGAGAAUGAACAAUGGAGUGACGGUCGUGCAGAGAUCAAAGAGGAAAGAGAACAGGGCUGAGGAGGUCCCAGCCUAGCCCGAGCUGAGGUGGACAAUUCUGGGACACAGGGACAGAUGGGACUAUCUGAGUUGAUGACAGAAAUGCUCUGGAGACCUCAGUGGAAACAAAGACUUACUCCACAGACCCCCUCCAUUCUAAAAGGGACAGACAAGACCCCAGAGGCUGCAAGGGGCUCACACUCAGCACCCCUCGGUCUGCACCCCUAAAGAAUCAGCUUCAGGCCAGUGGUGCAUCCAUGUUACCCUGUCACACUGGGCAGAGUGGCCUCAUCUCUCCCAUCCUUGCCACCCACAUCACCACAGACAAGGAAGCAGUCCAAGGGGUUUACCAGGGAUGUGCAGUAAAAAUAGAAAAUGUCAGUUAAAACCCCCCACAGCCUGAGAUGAUUGAUGAGCAGAUUCCUUAACCCCAUCUGGCUCUCUCCUGGGCAUUUGGAGGUGACCCCACCUCCCCAAGCCCCGGGGCAGGCAGGCGGUGGAGUGGUGCCACCGCAGACGGAGGGUCUGCCCGUAAGUCUGUCCUGCAGAUUGGGUAGAGCCAGGUGCAUCCACAAGGGGUCAGGGGCCAUGAUCUGGCAUCUGCAGCGCCUCAGUGAAGUCCCAGUUGGCUAAAGGGUAGAGUCCAUCAGGGGGUGGCCAUUCUCGGGAAGCAUGAUGCGAGUG